rnacentral:misc_RNA from 1 species
GAUUUUCGUCUUCUCAACCAAUGUAAUCUUCAUGUCAAGCAGUGGGAUAACAAAAAGACAUCUUCAACUCCGGAGUUUUGAGUAACAUUAUAGUAUAACAGACAAAGUAGCAGGGGAGAAUAAUACAUAGUGCUCCGAGUUUACUUCGAAUUCAAUGGUGAACUUCCCUUACUUGACAACUGCAUAUUGGAGAUCGAAAGUCCAGACGAAGGAAGUAUUAGGUUAACUGUACCAAUUGUACUUUCAUUGAAGAAGGUGCUCUAGAUAAAGAGACGUCCACUUUUGACCCUGUAACAAAUCCAGCCUGUAACUCUGGCAGCAACAUGGGAGCCAACGUGAAGGAAGAUCGCAGCAUAUAGGGAGCAACUUGUAAGUCAGGAAGAGAAGAAGCUGAUGAACUAUAUUGUACUGUUCCCAUAGGAUGAUCAAAUUUACACGCGCUGCCAAACUUGCAGAACCCUUUCAGUAGAUAAAAGGAGCAAGGCUGCACCCCCGGACGCAAAGGAAGGCCUAUGGGACUGAUAGCACAGUUUGUCUUUGAUGCAAUCCAGUCAGGUGGAUGGUGAAACUUACAAGAUGAUCCAAAUUU